GGAUUAAUUGAAAAAUGAAUAUUUUAGGAUGAAGGAUGGAUUUUACAGAGUUAAAAGGUCACAAGUCUGAAAAGAAUAUUGCCUGGAGACUUUUAUUUUUGUAAUGUGAUUUUCUCAUUUACUUUUGGUGCUUGUGUAGUCUUUAUUAUGUCAUUAUGUUGAUAUGUUAUUAAGCCUUGAAUACCCUUCUAGCAAAGGAGGGGGUCCCGGCGAAAAGCCGGGAAAACAUUGCUCGCCCCAAAUCUUUAAGGUUGUUUGGAGCUUAAGGAAUAUUUAAUUAUGUUAUUCAUGGUUGGACAAUCACUUUAAAUGAUGUGGAUGAAGUUUGUCAUAUCAGACAAAAUUAUUAGUAUAUAAUAAAAGAAAAUACUGAAAAUAUGCUUGCCUUAUAACUCCUUGAAAACAUAAAUUCACAAUUAAUAAUGCAUUAGAAUAUGAACAAAAAUGAUAGCAUUGUAUAUGUGAUGUAGAUUUUCGGAAAAAAUUAUUUCUUAUUACAUAAUAUUGGUAUGCAGUAAUUAUCUCAAUAUGAUCCACAACUCAUUCAACUAAAUAAGCAUUAAGUGUAUUUACAAACUGACCAUUGUAAUAAUCUUUUUUACUUAUUGUAUUUAAGUUCAAAGUCAUUUUAUCCGUUUUUUUCUCAUGUUUCAGUAUGUAAUUACAUGUAUAUAAUAUGAUUUUUGUUUCAUGUUCAUUGUUAGACUAAAGUUUAAAAAAAAGAUUAAUGAAACAAAGACAUAAAAAUGCAUGGCUUUGUAAAAAGUCUCUAUUUUGCGUAUGGUAUUUGCCAUCAAGUUAGUCAGAUUUAAUGUCAGUAUUUCCUUUGCAAUGUUUAAUUCUCGGUGAUACUAUUUUGAUUUACUCUUUGUCCAUUCUUAAUAGAAGCAAAACAUUUUAUGAUUUUCUUGUGACAAUCUUUUACCCUGAUUCUUCCAUUGUCGUCUCAAAGCCACCCCCUGGUCACAGCAAAUGAUGAUUGAAAUUAAUCAUCCCCAUAAAUAAUGAUCAAUGAUAUAUCAUUUGAUAAUUCACAGUUUUAUAGGUUAAUUGAAGUAAGUUAGAAGUAUAAGACUGAAAGAGUCAAGUUCUGAUAUGCCACUUAGGAAACUGAACCAAAUAAGAAUACAAAAAAGUACCCCCAAUAUCAGAGUUGCCAUAUAUGGAAAACCUAUCUCAAUAUUUGGAAUGUAGAUUCAUAAAGUAUGGGACGUUGAACAAUCUUGACUUUUUGUCUGCAUAGUCUGGCCAAGUAAAUCGAUACAGAACAUUUCACAUUCUGUAGCAGUAUAACUAAGGUCUUACUUAGAUGUUCUGGUUUUAUUUCCAGUCAUGAUUCAUGAGAACACAGCAACAGACGUUUCACUUUUAUUUCCCUGUAAAUGGUAUUUUUUUAAUUAUUGCAUAGUUUAUGUAUCUUUAUAGUAUUUAAUUUAUGCAUGUUUUAAAUCAGUACUAUGCACACUCACUUUUCAUUCCAGUUACCUAAAAUGAUGAAACCUGAGGAGCGUUUCGUGAAAAGACUUGUCGGACAAUUUAUCCGACAGUUACCAUAGGAACAGUGCCUCUCAGCCAAUCAACAUCAGGAAAAGAUAUCAGAUCUCACAACUUGUCAGGAUGAAAAUGUUGAUGAAAUGCUCCCCAGGGGCCCGUUUCAUAAAGGACUUACAACACUUGCAAGUUCUUUGUACUACUAGCCCCUGGUUUAACACAUUGAUAUGAUAAAUGAUAUAUGCCACGUUUCCCAAUUCUGCUUUGUUUUAUUUAUCUUAUUUUCAGAUAUUGCGGGAUGGAGUUGUCACUCAUUUUCUUUGGAAUACUUUUUUUUAAUAGGAUAUGCGAAACCAAAGCAAAAAAUAAAUAUUUCUGCUUAUUUCAAAUCAUAUUAGUAGUUUGAAUCUUGACUAUUGGUUGGGGUUAUUGUGUUUGAAUUGUAACAAGCGUCAACUUUUUAUUAUUUUCUUAGGCGCAGUUUGAAAAUACUUGCUUUAUAGUAUCUAAUAAAACCACUCGGUCUUACUACAUUUUGAAGUGCCACUAUAGGUCGAGAGCCAGCUACUGCUUCGAUAUAACGUGGCCUUCGCCCACGUACUGGAUCCGUUUUGUUCAACCAUACUUGUCAUUCUUUUUUUGUUAGUUAUUCUUUGAUUAACACGGCUUCUUGUAUUUUGGGGUGAUAUUGUUUGGUUUAGAAUUGUUUGUCCCAUCUGAUAUUAAAUUGGAAAUUAUAUUGUGCAGAAAUGA